CUGUGUCCUACCAAACACACAUCAGUUUUCUCACAUGACAAUCUAUGUGUGGAGUUCACUUCACUGACGGAAGAAAGUGGAAAAUAUGUCUUUGUCUUAUAUUCUUCUCAUUUAUGUUGCCGGUGUUGCGGUAAAAGAAAGUUGUGCAGAUUCGGUUCCCACUCCCACUAUUGUAUUUUCCCCUGAGUACAUCAAAGUAGCUACAACAGUUACAGUACGCUGUGAGUCACCAGAAGGCACAGAGUGCAUUUUCUACAGAGAUCACCACCCCAAACCUAUAAGAACAGUGGAUUACAAGCAGGGUGCUUGCCAGUUCAAGUUGUUGUGGAAUGAGUUCAAAAAGUGGAACAAGACUGAAGUAGAUCUCAGCUGUGUAAUUCUACAGAACAGAGAAGAUAAAUCGAUUAAAACCUUAAAACCUAGUGAUGCUCGAAGACUUAAAGUGAGUGAUCCAAUUGGAAAGCCCAGUGUUCAUGUGGAGAAGACUGGGAAUUACCUCAAUCUUCGAUGUGAGGCCAAGGCUGGCACCUCAUGCUACUUUUAUCUGAACAAUGGUGACUCACACUUCAAAAAACUACCCUACAAAGACAAUGUCUGUGUGGGGAGAGUGGCAGAAGAGGAACUGCAGAGGAAGAGGAGCAGUGUUGGAGAGAUCUUCAUCACCUGUGCUGUGGAGCUGGUGGUAGAAGGUGAAGAUACUGUGACAUCACAGCAUAGUGAACCCCUCGGUAUCACCAUAGAUGGAGCUACUAGUUCCCCAUCAGUGUUCAGUUUAAUCAUAACUGGUCAGGAGGAGACAAGCAGCAAUGUCACAGCCCAAGGAAGAGAAUCCGUCUCAGUGAUCCCCUUCUACCAGUACACCAGUCUUCGUGCUGUUGUCUAUGUUAUCAUUCUGCUGAUGGAAUCUGUUCUGUGUCUUCUCUGGUAUAGACGUGGUGCAUGCCUUCUCAUACUCACACAAAUUGUAACGGAUGUAGGAACUUCAUUUGAUUACUCUUUUAUUUCUGAGAAUUUUACUGCACAGCAGGAAAUGCAAACUUGCAGUGCAUUUGAGCAUUAAAAAUGCUUCUAACGUUUGUAAUAUCUGCUUUGAAAUUUUCAAACUUGAUUUCCCUAAAAGAAAUGUAUCAACCCCAACAAAAAUAUCCAUUAAUUAUCAUCCACAUAAUAAUUCACAUUUCCUGUUCCUGCAGGAUUAUUUUCCUGCUGUAGCAAACUGGCUCAAAUUAAGAUCCUACAUCUUUUUGUUGUUCCGAAGGCUUUUGUCAUGUCUUUUAUUAGCUAUACAACCUGGCGGUAUGAUUUGUUUUCAUCAUACUUUUAUCUCUGAAGUUGAUCCGCAAGGCAAUGUCAAACGGAGGUAACAGUGGUCUAUUUAUUCAUAAAUAUUUACUCAUGCAUUUUUUUUCGAUUAUCUGGUUGAUGUACUGGUGAAUUGUCGUGUCUUGACCAAAACCCAUCUAAGAUGCAAUAUGUGUGUGUAGAACAAUGCUCUUUACUCCCCAUUGCUUGUUAAUGUAUUUUAUAUUAUGCGAAGUGUUUCAUGUGUAAUGAGUUUAUAUGUCUAAAAUACAGCUAUUUUAUUAGCAUUUCAUUUUUUUCUGCUCAUGGAUGUUGUGUUUUCCAGUGGAAAUAAAGCUUGUACAUUAUAUUGUAAA
rnacentral:lncRNA from 1 species